rnacentral:rRNA from 1 species
GAUGAACGCUAGCGGCAGGCUUAACACAUGCAAGUCGAGGGGUAUGCCGAUUUAUCGGCAGAGACCGGCGCACGGGUGCGUAACGCGUAUGCAAUCUACCUUUUACAGAGGGAUAGCCCAGAGAAAUUUGGAUUAAUACCUCAUAGUAUAGUGACUCAGCAUCGAGAUACUAUUAAAGUCACAACGGUAAAAGAUGAGCAUGCGUCCCAUUAGCUAGUUGGUAAGGUAACGGCUUACCAAGGCUACGAUGGGUAGGGGUCCUGAGAGGGAGAUCCCCCACACUGGUACUGAGACACGGACCAGACUCCUACGGGAGGCAGCAGUGAGGAAUAUUGGACAAUGGGCGCAAGCCUGAUCCAGCCAUGCCGCGUGCAGGAUGACGGUCCUAUGGAUUGUAAACUGCUUUUGUACGAGAAGAAACACCUCUUCGUGAAGGGACUUGACGGUAUCGUAAGAAUAAGGAUCGGCUAACUCCGUGCCAGCCGCCGCGGUAACAC